GUCUAUGGCCAUACCACCUUGAACACAUUUGAUCUCCUCUGAUCUUGGAAGCUAAGCAGGGGUAGGCCUAAUUAGUGCUUGGAUGAGAGAGAAAGAGGUGAGAGAGAGGCAACAGAGA
rnacentral:rRNA from 10 species